UUGUUUGCCUGGGAGGGGGACACCAUGGUUGUGGAAGGUAGGGUUUCUAGGGUGAAGCCAGUCCUUUGCACUAAAGAUGUGCUGAUUCCUGUCAUUUCCCAGGAACUUCAGCUACAUAAUUUUUGGUAGAAGACUCACUGCACCUUU
rnacentral:snRNA from 10 species